rnacentral:rRNA from 1 species
UACGUAGGGACCAAGCGUUAUCCGGAUUUACUGGGCGUAAAGCGCGUUCAGGCGGUUUGGCAAGUCGGGCAUGAAAUCCUUCGGCUCAACCGGGGGAGGUUGUCCGAUACUGCUGAACUGGAGGGCAGUAGAGGGUGGUGGAAUUCCGGGUGUAGUGGUGAAAUGCGUAGAGACCCGGAGGAACACCAGUGGCGAAAGCGGCCACCUGGACUGCACCUGACGCUGAAACGCGAAAGCUAGGGGAGCGAACGGG